UACGGAGGGUGCAAGCGUUAUCCGGAUUCACUGGGUUUAAAGGGUGCGUAGGUGGAUUUAUAAGUCAGUGGUGAAAGCCCCCGAGCUCAACUUGGGAAUUGCCAUUGAUACUGUAGAUCUUGAGUUCGGUUGAGGUAGGCGGAAUAUAUCAUGUAGCGGUGAAAUGCUUAGAUAUGAUAUAGAACACCGAUUGCGAAGGCAGCUUACCAAGCCGUUACUGACACUGAUGCACGAAAGCGUGGGGAUCAAACAGG
rnacentral:rRNA from 1 species